GGCGCCGGGCGCGCGGGCCGGGCGCAUUUCCGGCGCGGGGGGUGUGUCCCGAUGGCUGCUGGGGGCCCUCGGCGCCCUCCUCGCCGCCGCCCGCCGCCCCGCGCCGCCCGCGGGCCUUUGGCCGGAGGGGGCAACCUUUGGGCUCUGGAAAGUACCUUUGGAAGUUUGGGCCCUGUGAAGGGAAGUCAGCCUGGUAGAAGCUGAAGGAAGUUUCAAGCCGCGGUUCUGUGUGUUCUUUCCUCAGCACUUGUGCGCCCGCGGACGAUCGUGCCGAGUCUGAGGCAAAAAAGAGGAGGACAGGUAUCACAUGGGUGGAUGUUUGCUGCCCAGAGCCAUCUCAGGGCGAUGUUGUGACCAGGGGCUCCCCACCAGCAGAAGCUACUCCGCAACAGCAUGGACCAGCGAAACAAGCGGUACCCCUGGCACCUGGUGAGACCAAAAAGUCACCUGCCUGUGAGGUGGAAGAAAAGAAACCGCCAAGGCUGCAGAAAAGAGCAGAAGGCUUUACUCCACUCACAGAGGUCAUCAAUUUCUACAUGGGUCUAGUGAUGGAAAGAAGUAAGAAGGAGGGAUAUCCAUCAGUCCACGCUUUUAGUUCGUUCUUUUAUGAAAAACUUGCUUCUGGGGGCUACAAAGCUGUAGGAAGAUGGACGAGGCGUGUGGAUGUCUUCAACAAGGACAUCAUCUUAGUGCCCAUUAACUUGCGUUUGCACUGGACACU